rnacentral:tRNA from 1 species
GGUCGUCGAGGUCGUUGAGGUCGACGUCGGGCACCUCCAGGGUGUCCAGGGCGGGCAGGCCCUCGGGCGGCUCGACGCCCUCGGCCAUCG